rnacentral:ribozyme from 1 species
UGCCCAGCAACUCCUAUCCCUACCUUCUCGUGGUACUGGCCGGGGUACGAGUAACCUUGGGGAAGAUCGGGUAACCAACCCCCGGUGGGAACUUUGGUCGUAUGCUGACAGGGAAGA